AUCUUCGAGCCUCAGAACUCUCCCUCUCGAUCGAGCCUCAGAACUCUCCCUUUCGAACCUCAUACUCAUCCCCACGGCUAACCCCAAAAUCCCCAAAAUCUAGAAAAUCUCCAAAAUCUCCGAAACCCUAGAAAAUCUCCAAAAUCUCCCAAACCCUAGAAACAACUAACUGGAAGAUAUGCAUUUUAUUUCACCCCUUCUCUCUCCCCCUUUCAGCCCAAAGCCACUGGAGUGAUGGAGCCUAACUUUUGAAGACCCAUCUCCCUCACCCCUUCAGUAGAAGAAAUUUCGGCGAAGGGACCGAUUCACCACAACCGUUUGAAGACCCAUCUCCCUGACUCACUUCAGUUUUUUAGUUUGAAGAAAUCUCCGUGAAAGACAAACUAUGGCAUCGAGUCAAUCAUCAUCGUGUGUAGUUAAUGAUCUUGAAAUCGAAUCACCAAGUUGUUGGUGUGGUUUGAAAGCGCCAUUAAAGAUCUCCUACACCCACAAUAAUCCUGGACGGAAAUUUUAUGCUUGUCCGAAUUAUCAUACGGGAGAAAGAAAAUGUAAAUUCUUCAUUUGGGCAGAUAUACUUCAAUCAGUAUUAUCUGAGAAAAACUUGACAAGAG